rnacentral:misc_RNA from 1 species
AGCCAUAGCAUAGAGCGUCAUAAUAUCGAACAACAUAUAGCCCAUUAAUACAUCUGGUCAGGUAUUCAAACUCAAUCAAAAAUCACCUGUGAUGCUAGAAAUAGAGUACAUAGCAUGCUUAUUUGCAUCAGACUUUCAGGUUAAAGGAAAAAGAGAACAGCAUAAAUCAAGAAGGUGUAGUCACAUCAUUCAUAGUGAGCUUUCACCGAGUCACAUUAAUUCUGUCCAACUACCAAUCAUUCAGCAACGACUCUUUUCUUCGUUGUGUAAGGAUAGUACUCCUUGCCAUUGUCAGUUCUUGUGGUUGCGCCUAGUCCAUCAAUUAUACCAGAAGUGACUGCAAGUGCAGCCCCAGCUGACAGAGCUGUUGGAAUACUCCUUCCUUUGUAACCCAGCACAGAAGCACCAGCAACGAAUCCACCCACUGCUCCAUUAAUAAAAUCUCUUUUCACCCUAUAGUUCUGCACCAGCUGUUCUACCCCUAUAUAGACUCCGCCAAUAGCAGCAAAGGUAAGCCCGUGGUUUCCCAUCAUUUUCAAUGUCCGGAUCAAACCAGGAAGAGCAACAUUUCUCUCAACACGGGGUACAUCAUGCCAAGUGGCAAUAAUGGCACCCCAAAGUGUACCAGCAACUAGACCUGAGGUUGCCCCUUUCAGUGUUUUCAUCCCUGCUGUAUCCUCCUCUUCAUAAUACCUUAGCUCUGCAGCCUCAUCCAUGAUUUUACUCAAGCUGGAAAUCGCACUGAUCUGUUUCGCGAUUUUUG